AGAUUAAAGUUAAACUACAUCGAUAGAAAAGAACAACAGUAAACAAACGCGGUGGUGUAUUAAACAAAGCAACAAAGCGGAUUCCAAUCGACACGUGCCCAUUCCACGUGUACAUCGUUACACUUGAACAGUCUCUCAGGCCUUAAUUUUCGCCUCGCUAGAGCCGCGUUCCGAUGCGAUUUGAAGGAGACAAUUGCGUAGGCAGCAUCGUGACUUGGAAAUCGACUAUAUAUUAUUCUGUAAAGAAUAAGCAAACGUAGCUCUACCCUGACAACUUCUUCCGAGGCGAUAUUAUACGGUAGCGGGC